GCCUGCGGCUUAAUUUGACUCAACACGGGAAAACUUACCCGGCCCGGACACUGGAAGGAUUGACAGAUUAAGAGCUCUUUCUUGAUUCAGUGGAUGGUGGUGCAUGGCCGUUCUUAGUUGGUGGAGCGAUUUGUCUGGUUAAUUCCGAUAACGAACGAGACUCUAGCCUACUAAAUAGACGAACGAUCACUGGAGUCGUUCGAUCUUCUUAGAGGGACAAGCGGCUUUUAGCCGCACGAGACAGAGCAAUAACAGGUCUGUGAUGCCCUUAGAUGUCCGGGGCCGCACGCGCGCUACACUGAAGGAAUCAGCGUGCGUUUACCCCUGUCCGGCAGGACUGGGUAACCCGAUCAACCUCCUUCGUGAUAGGGAUAGGGGCUUGUAAUUCUUGCCCUUGAACGAGGAAUUCCCAGUAAGCACGAGUCAUAAGCUCGUGUUGAUUACCGUCCCUGCCCUUUGUACACACCGCCCGUCGCUACUACCGAUUGAAUGAUUUAGUGAGGUCUUCGGACUGGCGCUCGGAGCGCCUUACUGGUCGCGCCGGCGUGCCGGAAAGAUGACCGAACUUGAUUAUUUAGAGGAAGUAAAAGUCGUAACAAGGUUUCCGUAGGUGAACCUGCGGAAGGAUCAUUACCGAUUCGGCGAGGCCGAGAGCCUUGUCCGGUCAAAACACAGGCAGACAGAGCAAUAGACCGGUUGGGGGUGUCUGUUCCCGCGGCAAUGUGCCCUGGCGCGAAGCGUCUUGGCGUCGCGGGGGUGCCCGUUCCUCACCAGAGGAUAGGCGCUAGGCGUAAGAGCAACCGCCACCCCCGGAGAGACGGGACGCCAAGUGCGUGCCGUCCAGACGGACGUGUCGUAGCCCAGUGCUUCGUCGUCCGAGAGAAAAGUAACUAUGACAUAACUAUGACGAGAAAGAGAGAAGUAACUAUGACGAAAGAGAGAUAAGUUCCCCGCUUUCGCGGGGAAGGACUCGGACUAAGUCCGAGGAAGAGAGUAUCUAGCCACUCUCAAAGUAUCAAAUGCCUCGUCAUCUAUUUGACGCAAAAUUCGGACAAAGUCCGGCCGAGUGAGGGGAGAGAGAAGGCGAGAUUGCGACGCCUUAUGUGAGAAGGGGAGUGGUGCCCCCUUAUGUGAGAGGAGGAGAAGGCGAGUUGGGACGCCUUAUGUGAGAGGAGGAGAAGGCGAGUUGGGACGCCUUAUGUGAGAGGAGGAGAAGGCGAGUUGGGACGCCUUAUGUGAGAGGAGGAGAAGGGGAGUGGUGCCCCCUUAUGUGAGAGGAGGAGAAGGGGAGUGGUGCCCCCUUAUAGNGAGAGAAGAGCAAUGGCGGGCGCCUUGUGNGAGGAGGAAAGGCGAAGGGGCAACGCCUUGUGAGAGCGAGGAGANAAGGCNAUGGCGGGCGCCUUGUCGAGAGGAGGAGAGUAGAAAANGCGAUAGGGGCGGCUGCCUUGUGAGAGGAGGAGAGAGAAGNUCCCUGCUGUNACGGGGGAAAAUGAAACACGGNUGACCGANUNGNCCGGGUUAAGNNCGAAANAUAUAUANCGUCUACGGACGCAUNGGUACAUGUGCUUAAAUAUAAUAAAGCGUCUACNGACGCCUCCUGAAACUNCUUCUGGAGUNNUCUCUUUNNAACAAAUGNCUCUUANUCGUCAUCUUGNNUUGUCGGACAACNUCCNANAAAUNNNCAGCGUCUACGGNCGCUCNNUAAACUUCUNNNNNAGUUUUCUNUUUAUNACAAAUGCCUCUAANUCGUCAUCUUGAAUUGUCGGACAAAGUCCGAGAGGGCAGUCGUAGCACUCGUCAUCUAAGUGACGGGAACAAAAAGAGAGUAACUAUGAUAACAGGGAGAGCAGCGACGGGCCACCGCUCGGCGACGAGGGGCCAGGCAGCCGAUGGAGGCCAACCCGCGUGGACCACUAUAGCCGGUUCCGCCUCCGCAGAAAAGGGUGAAGUCCGAAGUGGUCUAGGACGAUCCCAAGAGGCCGCCACGGGUUUCCGAGAAGCCGGCACCGGCCGCGGUUGCCGUAUCUCUCCCACCCAAUGUAGGUAAGGGAAAUAUAAUAAGAGUUACUCUCACAGUGAACCAAUGUAGGUAAGGUUGGACUGCCCGUCUCGGAGUGUGGACAAUGUAGGUAAGACGUGGGCGCCUAGUCUCGGGGUCUCGGCCCUGGGGUGUGCCUUCGCCGUCGGCGGAGGUGCUAGGCGUAACGAGCCGAAAGGCCGGCCCGAAACUUUGAAACACCGUAACUAUGACCUUAUGUGAGAGAAGGCGAUGGCGGGCGCCUUGUGAGAGGAGGAAAGGCGAAGGGACGACGCCUUGUGAGAGGAGGAGAGAAGGCGAUGGCGGGCGCCUUGUGAGAGGAGGAGAGAGAAAAGGCGAAGGGGCGGCGCCUUGUGAGAGGAGGAGAGAGAAGUUCCCUGCUGUAACGGGGGAAAAUGAAACACGGAUGACCGACUCGGCCGGGUUAAGUCCGAGAAAUAUACAGCGUCUACGGACGCUCGGUACAUGUGCUUAAAUAUAAAAAGCGUCUACGGACGCUCGAGAAACUUCUUCGGGAGUUUUCUCUUUAGAACAAAUGCCUCUAACUCGUCAUCUUGAAUUGUCGGACAACGUCCGAGAAAUAUACAGCGUCUACGGACGCUCGAGAAACUUCUUCGGGAGUUUUCUCUUUAUAACAAAUGCCUCUAACUCGUCAUCUUGAAUUGUCGGACAAAGUCCGAGAGGGCAGUCGUAGCACUCGUCAUCUAAGUGACGGGAACAAAAAGAGAGUAACUAUGAUAACAGGGAGAGCAGCGACGGGCCACCGCUCGGCGACGAGGGGCCAGGCAGCCGAUGGAGGCCAACCCGCGUGGACCACUAUAGCCGGUUCCGCCUCCGCAGAAAAGGGUGAAGUCCGAAGUGGUCUAGGACGAUCCCAAGAGGCCGCCACGGGUUUCCGAGAAGCCGGCACCGGCCGCGGUUGCCGUAUCUCUCCCACCCAAUGUAGGUAAGGGAAAUAUAAUAAGAGUUACUCUCACAGUGAACCAAUGUAGGUAAGGUUGGACUGCCCGUCUCGGAGUGUGGACAAUGUAGGUAAGACGUGGGCGCCUAGUCUCGGGGUCUCGGCCCUGGGGUGUGCCUUCGCCGUCGGCGGAGGUGCUAGGCGUAACGAGCCGAAAGGCCGGCCCGAAACUUUGAAACACCGUAACUAUGACAUAGAGCUAAUACUAAGUACAACUCGAAGUGGUGGAUCACUCGGCUCACGGGUCGAUGAAGAACGCAGCCAGCUGCGAGACUGGUGUAACUUCAGGACACA
rnacentral:rRNA from 1 species